GACGGAGGAUGCAAGUGUUAUCCGGAAUCACUGGGCGUAAAGCGUCUGUAGGUGGUUCGAAAAGUCCACUGUUAAAAAUUGAGGCUUAACUUCAAAGAUGCCGUGGAAACUUUCAAACUAGAGUAUGGUAGGGGUAGAGGGAAUUUCCAGUGGAGCGGUGAAAUGCGUAGAUAUUGGAAAGACCACCGAUGGCGAAGGCACUCUACUGGGCCAUUACUGACACUGAGGGACGAAAGCUAGGGGAGCAAAUGGG
rnacentral:rRNA from 1 species